rnacentral:rRNA from 1 species
GAUGAACGCUGGCGGCGUGCCUAAUACAUGCAAGUCGAGCGAACGGACGAGAAGCUUGCUCCUCUGACGUUAGCGGCGGACGGGUGAGUAACACGUGGAUAACCUACCUAUAAGACUGGGAUAACUUCGGGAAACCGGAGCUAAUACCGGAUAAUAUUUUGAACCGCAUGGUUCAAUAGUGAAAGACGGUUUUGCUGUCACUUAUAGAUGGAUCCGCGCUGCAUUAGCUAGUUGGUAAGGUAACGGCUUACCAAGGCAACGAUGCGUAGCCGACCUGAGAGGGUGAUCGGCCACACUGGAACUGAGACACGGUCCAGACUCCUACGGGAGGCAGCAGUAGGGAAUCUUCCGCAAAGGGCGAAAGCCUGACGGAGCAACGCCGCGUGAGUGAUGAAGGUCUUCGGAUCGUAAAACUCUGUUAUUAGGGAAGAACAAAUGUGUAAGUAACUAUGCACGUCUUGACGGUACCUAAUCAGAAAGCCACGGCUAACUACGUG